rnacentral:rRNA from 1 species
GCGUGAGUGAUGAAGGCCUUAGGGUUGUAAAACUCUUUCGCCCACGACGAUGAUGACGGUAGUGGGAGAAGAAGCCCCGGCUAACUUCGUGCCAGCAGCCGCGGUAAUACGAAGGGGGCUAGCGUUGUUCGGAAUUACUGGGCGUAAAGCGCACGUAGGCGGCGUAGCAAGUUAGAUGUGAAAUGCCUGGGCUUAACCUAGGAACUGCAUUUAAGACUGCUAUGCUAGAGACCGGGAGAGGGUGGCGGAAUUCCCAGUGUAGAGGUGAAAUUCGU